UCUCUUUUCUGUUUUUUACUGCCACCUUCCCUCUCUGUUCUCAUUCACUUACUUUUUUUCCAUGUACUUUCUUCUUCGUGUAUAAUUUGAUUGAUCUGUUUUGUUUUAUUUGGCAGAUAUUGAUUAUAAAAUCAUCGAAAAAGAAACUAUUAGCGAAAGAGAAAUCAAUAUAAUUUUUCUUUUUGAAAGAAAGAUUCCUGCAGGUAUAUUUACUGAUUACAAUCUAGGGUUUUUGCACCUUGAUUGUAUGAUUCUGUUCUUUUGAAUGCUAGAUCUAUAAAGAAAUUUAGAGGGAGAAAUGUUACAAGCAUUAUAGAAGAAACUUAUUGUAGGGAUUGAGAAAAGCCCUGAGCUAGGGCAGAAGGUAUGUUUACGUUGUAGAAGCAUGUUUUUCUUCAAUUUUAAGUUUUAGUUACUGAACAAAAUUUCGAGUCUUCAAUUGCACUAAGUAUUCUGUGAAUUUCAACAUUAAGUUUUUUAAGUUUGCUGUGUAUCAGAAAGAUCCGCUCAAAGCGAGAUCAUUGUUGCAUCUUGAUAUAAAUUGAGGGUCAACAUUAGGCAUACCGGUAUUGGAUUUUCACUUGCAUGCUAAUCGUUUUGCUGCAUACCUAACUGAUUGUUUCAUUUUUGUUGCAUACAUGUAUCCAAGUUCUUAAUGUGAUUAUGUGCAGGCAACCAUAACGAGAAUACAAAAACAAUGGAUGGUGGGUGAAAUUUGUUUUCUUAAAUAUGAAGCCAAAGUAAUGUGCAUCAUCAUUACCUGUACUUUCUUUCCUAGACAUUAUGCAUGUGGAAGUUUUACGUACCAGCUAAUCGUUGUACGGCAUACCCCUAACUGACUGUUUCAUUUUUGCUGCACAUAUGUAUCCCGGAUCUUGAUGUUAUAUGCAAGGCAGCAGUAACGGGAACACUGGCAAAAUUGUACUAUACCCUGUUCGCGACAAAAGGUGAUCAACGCAAGGCUUCUAAAGAGUUGGAAGUCUGGAAACUAUAAAACCAAUCAGACAAUGUCACUGAGGCAUUUUGCAAUCUGCGAUAUUUGAAACAAGCUAAUGGACAACAGUGUACGCACAAAACAUAAGAACCAACUGCAGUAAUUAAAAAUGGGACAUCCCUUGCUUGAAAAAUGAUGUUGACUUGAGGUUAAUGCUGGAAAUUAGGAGGAUCUUGGCAGGAAUCACCGUAAGUUUUACACUUUAUGUGAUUUGAACUUUGCAGCUUCAGAAUCAUGCUCCAACUUUUAAUGAAUCUACACAGGAAACAAUGCACUCUUUCGUUUUCUGCUACUUAUAUGUUAGUUCGAGAUGAUUUUAUGUUGAAACCUUUGACAAUAAGGUUCUAGAAAACUUGGAUCAAAUGUCGAGAAAAUUUGGUCACUUUUAUCUAUUUAUCAUGCAUCACAACUAGGGAGUUCGAAAACACGGACCAAAUGACUGUUUACGAGGAUAACGAGAAGCUUGAUAUUACAAAUCUGAUGAAGUUAGUAGUUAUAGACCCAACUGUUACAGAGAACUUAAGAUACUUGGAAUCAAAAAUGGUUUGGCUGCUGUCCUAACUGACAGCCCAAUGUUUCCUUCAUAGGUAAAAUUUUGAGUUUCAAAAAUGGUUUGGCUGCUGUCCUAAUUGACAGGCCAAUGUUUCCUUCAUAGGUAAAAUUUUUAGUUUCGUGCGACAAGGAUGCCCCUUAUAACUAAGUGUAUGGCAAGAUCAUGAUCCAUAUAUCAUAAUUAUGAAGAUUUUUCUUUUUGUAGCUGCAGUACGGACAAAUUUUUGGCAGAGAUUUUAGCAAUACCAACCGGCCUAGAACAAUGGAUUUUGUGCGUAUCAAACGAUAUCUUUAGGCAGCAGAUCCUCUGCCAAAAGGGUCCAUUAUUUUGGGAAGGUCACAAUACCAUUUUUUAGGAAGCCCAGAUUCUACUGUUUUUUGUGGCUAGCCAUGUAAUUUGUACUUAAGUCUUCCCUUUCCUGUUGUUUGUUACACUGUUUUCAGUUUUUUCCCUGCCAUGUUAUAUAAAUGGAAAACAACUAUCGUUUUUCCAAACAUGAUAUAUAAAUUAAGCGCGAUAUUUAAAAUUC